rnacentral:rRNA from 1 species
UACGUAGGGUGCGAGCGUUGUCCGGAAUUAUUGGGCGUAAAGGGCUCGUAGGCGGCCAACUAAGUCAGACGUGAAAUCCCUCGGCUUAACCGGGGAACUGCGUCUGAUACUGGAUGGCUCGAGUUUGGAGAGGGAUGCGGAAUUCCAGGUGUAGCGGUGAAAUGCGUAGAUAUCUGGAGGAAUACCGGUGCGAAGGCGCAUCCUGGACCAUAACUGACGCUGAGGCGCGAAAGCUAGGGGAGCAACGGG